AUUGAACGCUGGCGGCAGGCCUAACACAUGCAAGUCGAGCGGAUGAAGGGAGCUCGCUCCUGGAUUCAGCGGCGGACGGGUGAGUAAUGCCUAGGAAUCUGCCUGGCAGUGGGGGAUAACGUCCGGAAACGGGCGCUAAUACCGCAUACGUCCUGAGGGAGAAAGUGGGGGAUCUUCGGACCUCACGCUACCAGAUGAGCCUAGGUCGGAUUAGCUAGUUGGUGGGGUAAAGGCCUACCAAGGCGACGAUCCGUAACUGGUCUGAGAGGAUGAUCAGUCACACUGGAACUGAGACACGGUCCAGACUCCUACGGGAGGCAGCAGUGGGGAAUAUUGGACAAUGGGCGAAAGCCUGAUCCAGCCAUGCCGCGUGUGUGAAGAAGGUCUUCGGAUUGUAAAGCACUUUAAGUUGGGAGGAAGGGCAGUAAGUUAAUACCUUGCUGUUUUGACGUUACCAACAGAAUAAGCACCGGCUAACUUCGUG
rnacentral:rRNA from 1 species